AGCAGCCCGACGCAAGAGGCAGGAAGCGCGGCAGCUCGUGUCUGAGCGCCCGGCGGAAAACCGAAGUCAGAAGUCUCUCUUAGCAGCACGCGGAGAAGAACGGGGAGCCAGCAUCAUGGCAGAACAGGAUGUGGAAAACGAUCUUUUGGAUUAUGAUGAAGAGGAAGAGCCCCAGGCUCCUCAAGAGAGCACACCGGCUCCCCCUAAGAAAGACAUCAAGGGAUCCUACGUUUCCAUCCACAGCUCUGGCUUCCGGGACUUUCUGCUGAAGCCGGAGCUCCUGCGGGCCAUCGUGGACUGUGGCUUUGAGCAUCCUUCUGAGGUCCAGCAUGAGUGCAUUCCCCAGGCCAUCCUGGGCAUGGACGUCCUGUGCCAGGCCAAGUCCGGGAUGGGCAAGACAGCGGUCUUCGUGCUGGCCACCCUACAGCAGAUUGAGCCUGUCAACGGACAGGUGACGGUCCUGGUCAUGUGCCACACGAGGGAGCUGGCCUUCCAGAUCAGCAAGGAAUAUGAGCGCUUUUCCAAGUACAUGCCCAGCGUCAAGGUGAGCCCCUCGGGCCGGACUGGACCAGGCGCCACUUGGUUUCUGCAGCUUUGUUAGCCUCGGCUCUGGCCCAGCCAGCAUUUACCAAGCUUGGCAGGGGCAGCUGCCUUUGAGGUUUGCGGUGGUUUUUGCUCCUUAAAAGCUUGAUGAAUUAUGCAUGGCUCCCAGGGGCCUGCGCAGGUCCCAGCCUGGGGCUGCCUUUGAGUGGAGCCCCGGGAGGCUCUCAGGCCUGCCUUGGUCCCCUGAGGCCUCCUGUUCGCAGGUGCUGGGCCGUGCGGGUCGGGGCCUUGGGCCGUGUAUCAGCAUGGACCGGUUUCCUCCUCAUCCCCAUAGGUGUCUGUGUUCUUCGGUGGUCUCUCCAUCAAGAAGGAUGAAGAAGUGUUGAAGAAGAACUGUCCCCAUGUCGUGGUGGGGACCCCGGGCCGCAUCCUGGCGCUCGUGCGG
rnacentral:sRNA from 1 species